CAAAUUGAAGCUUUAAGAUAAGUUUUUUAUUUACAUUAAAAAUAUACUGUUAAAUUCAGUACGGUUUGA
rnacentral:tRNA from 1 species